UACGGGAGGCAGCAGUGGGGAAUAUUGCACAAUGGGGGAAACCCUGAUGCAGCGACGCCGCGUGAGUGAUGAAGUAUUUCGGUACGUAAAACUCUAUCAGCAGGGAAGAAAAUGACGGUACCUGACUAAGAAGCACCGGCUAAAUACGUGCCAGCAGCCGCGGUAAU
rnacentral:rRNA from 1 species